UUCCAUGUAGCUCAAUGGAAGAGGACGGACUAACCAUCCGAGGUCGCCAGUUCGAAUCUGGCAUGGGAAU
rnacentral:tRNA from 1 species